rnacentral:lncRNA from 13 species
GAAGAGCAGAUCCAGAGGCCUCUCUAAACUCCUGGUCAGCACGCUUUCAACACCAACACACACCACAAUAGAACGGACUACAAACUUCUUGGAAACUAUUUAAAUCACAAAGAUAAUGACUUUUGUCUUGAACCAUUUGUUGUCUGUCACAGGAGACAUGAGCCUCCACCAAU